UACGGGGGGGGCAAGCGUUGUUCGGAAUUACUGGGCGUAAAGGGCUCGUAGGCGGCCAACUAAGUCAGACGUGAAAUCCCUCGGCUUAACCGGGGAACUGCGUCUGAUACUGGAUGGCUUGAGAUUGGGAGAGGGAUGCGGAAUUCCAGGUGUAGCGGUGAAAUGCGUAGAUAUCUGGAGGAACACCGGUGGCGAAGGCGGCAUCCUGGACCAAUUCUGACGCUGAGUGAGCGAAAGCCAGGGGAGCAAACGGG
rnacentral:rRNA from 1 species